rnacentral:rRNA from 1 species
GAUGAACGCUAGCUACAGGCUUAACACAUGCAAGUCGAGGGGCAGCAUGACCUAGCAAUAGGUUGAUGGCGACCGGCGCACGGGUGAGUAACACGUAUCCAACCUACCGGUUAUUCUGGGAUAGCCUUUCGAAAGAAAGAUUAAUACCGGAUAGUAUAACGAGAAGGCAUCUUUUUGUUAUUAAAGAAUUUCGAUAAUCGAUGGGGAUGCGUUCCAUUAGUUUGUUGGCGGGGUAACGGCCCACCAAGACAUCGAUGGAUAGGGGUUCUGAGAGGAAGGUCCCCCACAUUGGAACUGAGACACGGUCCAAACUCCUACGGGAGGCAGCAGUGAGGAAUAUUGGUCAAUGGACGAGAGUCUGAACCAGCCAAGUAGCGUGAAGGAUGACUGCCCUAUGGGUUGUAAACUUCUUUUAUAUGGGAAUAAAGUGAGCC